AUGGAUGAGUUCAGAGACAACAAGAGCAUGGACUUGGGUACAUUUGGAAGAAAAGUUCAGCAAAAGUUCAAGCUUAAUCCAGUGAGAAUGAAGCUUGGUAGGGCCAGGAGUGCUGCACUUAAGAUCAUACAUGGUGAUGAGAAAGCACAAUACAGCCAGUUGUGGGACCAUGGACAAGAACUGAGGAGAAGUAAUCCAGGGAGCAAAUUCAUUGUUUGCACAACCAAAGUGAAGGAAAUAGGUGACCUGCUUCCAAAAGAUCACCUAUCUUCACUAUAUUGGUCCUAUGAUGCCUGCAAGAGAUGUUUCCUGAAUGGGUGCAUGCCAAUUCUAUUUGUUGAUGGCUGUCACCUGAAGAGCAAAUACAAGGGCAAUCAGGAAAGCGCAUAUGUGAGCACUUGGAAUCCUCCUGGGCCACUUCCUGAAGAGUCUGCUUUUGUGGUGCAAGCUAGGGAUUCUAUCCCUCCAGAAGAACCACAACCACAACCACAACAAGUGUGA
rnacentral:rRNA from 1 species